rnacentral:rRNA from 1 species
CUUGCUUCUCUUGAGAGCGGCGGACGGGUGAGUAAUGCCUAGGAAUCUGCCUGGUAGUGGGGGAUAACGUUCGGAAACGGACGCUAAUACCGCAUACGUCCUACGGGAGAAAGCAGGGGACCUUCGGGCCUUGCGCUAUCAGAUGAGCCUAGGUCGGAUUAGCUAGUUGGUGGGGUAAUGGCUCACCAAGGCGACGAUCCGUAACUGGUCUGAGAGGAUGAUCAGUCACACUGGAACUGAGACACGGUCCAGACUCCUACGGGAGGCAGCAGUGGGGAAUAUUGGACAAUGGGCGAAAGCCUGAUCCAGCCAUGCCGCGUGUGUGAAGACGGUCUUCGGAUUGUAAAGCACUUUAAGUUGGGAGGAAGGGUUGUAGAUUAAUACUCUGCAAUUUUGACGUUACCGACAGAAUAAGCACCGGCUAACUCUGUGCCAGCAGCCGCGGUAAUACAGAGGGUGCAAGCGUUAAUCGGAAUUACUGGGCGUAAAGCGCGCGUAGGUGGUUUGUUAAGUUGGAUGUGAAAUCCCCGGGCUCAACCUGGGAACUGCAUUCAAAACUGACUGACUAGAGUAUGGUAGAGGGUGGUGGAAUUUCCUGUGUAGCGGUGAAAUGCGUAGAUAUAGGAAGGAACACCAGUGGCGAA